rnacentral:rRNA from 1 species
AUUGAACGCUGGCGGCAUGCCUUACACAUGCAAGUCGAACGGCAGCACGGGUGCUUGCACCUGGUGGCGAGUGGCGAACGGGUGAGUAAUGCAUCGGAACGUACCCGGAAGUGGGGGAUAACGUAGCGAAAGUUACGCUAAUACCGCAUAUUCUGUGAGCAGGAAAGAGGGGGAUCGCAAGACCUCUCGCUUUCGGAGCGGCCGAUGUCGGAUUAGCGAGUUGGCGGGGUAAAGGCCCACCAAGGCAACGAUCCGUAGCGGGUCUGAGAGGAUGAUCCGCCACACUGGGACUGAGACACGGCCCAGACUCCUACGGAAGGCAGCAGUGGGGAAUUUUGGACAAUGGGGGCAACCCUGAUCCAGCCAUGCCGCGUGAGUGAGGAAGGCCUUCGGGUUGUAAAGCUCUUUCGGCUGGGAAGAAAUCGCAUCUCCUAAUACGGGGUGUGGAUGACGGUACCAGCAUAAGAAGCACCGGCUAACUACGUGCCAGCCGCCGCCGUAACAC